GGCGGGAGCUAGACAGCCCGCGGUGGCGCGUUGGGUGGAGAGACCUGUAAUUAUCUUGUCAUGCAGCGAUCAAAACAACUGGGAACUGGGACUUCAGUGCGUUUAAAACAAGAUCACCGACCUCAUGAUUUGACCUCGUAUUUUUCAGAGAUCCCAGUUGUUUUGAACUCUGCAUCAGUAUGUCUAUAAUUAUUGAGUAGACGCAGGUCGAGCAUCCGCGUAUCCACCUGAAGUCCAUAAAGCAGAAAUGCUAAACUGACCUUAGAUCAGGCAUUCUACUCCGAUUCACACACCGAAACCGAAACAAGGUGAUGAACCUCUCAGAGGAGAACAGGACAGUCGUGGUCUCUGGUGUACCAGACACACUGUCCAGCAGCCGCAUGGCAGACAAACUGGUUAUUCACUUCCAGAGCUCCAGAAGCCGCGGAGGAGAUGUAGAAAACAUCAAGUACCCGACCAGCUUCAAGGGGGUGGCUUUUGUUACAUUUGAAAACACCAGAGAUGCUGAGAUGGUCAUCAGAAAGAAGCAGAUAAUGUCUGACAAGGAGUUCCCUCAAGACUACCCUAUCACUGUUCAGAUUCACCCAAGACUACCCUAUCACUGUUCAGAUUCACCCAAGACUACCCUAUCACUGUUCAGAUUCACCCAAGACUACCCUAUCACUGUUCAGAUUCACCCAAGACUACCCUAUCACUGUUCAGAUUCACCCAAGACUACCCUAUCACUGUGUUCAGAUUCACCCAAGACUACCCUAUCACUGUUCAGAUUCACCCAAGACUACCCUAUCACUGUUCAGAUUCACCCAAGACUACCCUAUCACUGUUCAGAUUCACCCAAGACUACCCUAUCACUGUUCAGAUUCACCCAAGACUACCCUAUCACUGUUCAGAUUCACCCAAGACUACCCUAUCACUGUUUCAGAUUCACCCAAGACUA